UGAGAUGCCACACUUCAACUCUACUUAAGCUAUGUUUUCAGAGUUUAGCCAAAAAAAAUUUUCUAGAUUUAAACUAUUGUAGAUUUAUUUAUUUGUACAUACCCUGACCAUAGAAAGAGCAAAAGUUGAGGAAUAUAUAGAAGGUCACAGUGGUCUGCAUUGCCACUUCACAGUCUAUGUAUAUUCUUUAUCUUGAAAAAAAUGAGGUUAAAGCUACAGCAAAAAAUAUUUUAGGCUAUUGAGAGUCAGUGAAUUAGUCACUGUGGACAGACUGAAUUCUCUUCAAAAAUACCUUGACUCCCAACUAAUUUAUUAAAUUCAACACACACCUAAAUAUGAAUCAUGUAUAUUUUAUCCUUACUGCUUUACUAUAUUGGAAGACUAAUUUGACAUCAGUAUAUUUCGAACCUAUGGAUUCCAGGUCAGUGAAAUGCCACUUUCCAGGUUUCUAAAAACCUCUCUAGAC
rnacentral:lncRNA from 1 species